AAUGCACCAAUUUGUAUGUUGCUCUGGAUAAGAGCGUCUGCUAAAUGACUUAAA
rfam:Salmo salar isolate Sally breed double haploid chromosome ssa09, whole genome shotgun sequence.